rnacentral:rRNA from 1 species
UACGAAGGGGGCUAGCGUUGUUCGGAAUUACUGGGCGUAAAGCGCGCGCAGGCGGUCUUCCAAGUCAGUGGUGAAAGCCCGGAGCUCAACUCCGGAACUGCCAUUGAAACUGUGAGACUGGAGUACGAGAGAGGUGAGUGGAAUUCCCCAGUGUAGAGGUGAAAAUUCGUAGAUAUUGGGAAGAACACCGGUGGCGAAGGCGGCUCACUGGCUCGUAACUGACGCUCAGGCGCGACAGCGUGGGGAUCAAACAGG